rnacentral:miRNA from 1 species
CCCAUCCACGUUUCUUCU